ensembl:misc_RNA Metazoa_SRP Metazoan signal recognition particle RNA
GCUGGGCACAGUGGUGCGUGCCUGUAGUCUCAGCUACUCAGGAGGCUGAGGCAGGAGGAUUACUUGAGCCCAGGAGUUGGAGGCUGCAGUGAGCUAUGAUUGCACCACUGCACAUCCUGGGCAACAGAGUGAGACCCUGUCUCAA